rnacentral:tRNA from 1 species
GACCAGCAUGGCACAGUGGUUUGAGCAUUAGACUAUGACUCUGGAGACCAGGGUUCGAAUCCAGGCUUAGCCA